GAUGAACGCUGGCGGCGUGCCUAAUACAUGCAAGUCGAGCGAACGGACGAGAAGCUUGCUUCUCUGAUGUUAGCGGCGGACGGGUGAGUAACACGUGGAUAACCUACCUAUAAGACUGGGAUAACUUCGGGAAACCGUAGCUAAUACCGGAUAAUAUUUUGAACCGCAUGGUUCAAAAGUGAAAGACGAUCUUGCUGUCACUUAUAGAUGGAUCCGCGCUGCAUUAGCUAGUUGGUAAGGUAACGGCUUACCAAGGCAACGAUGCAUAGCCGACCUGAGAGGGUGAUCGGCCACACUGGAACUGAGACACGGUCCAGACUCCUACGGGAGGCAGCAGUAGGGAAUCUUCCGCAAUGGGCGAAAGCCUGACGGAGCAACGCCGCGUGAGUGAUGAAGGUCUUCGGAUCGUAAAACUCUGUUAUUAGGGAAGAACAUAUGUGUAAGCAACUGUGCACAUCUUGACGGUACCUAAUCAGAAAGCCACGGCUAACUACGUG
rnacentral:rRNA from 1 species